GACGUAGGGUGCAAGCGUUGUCCGGAUUUAUUGGGCGUAAAGGGCUCGUAGGCGGUUUGUCGCGUCGGGAGUGAAAACUCAGGGCUUAACCCUGAGCCUGCUUCCGAUACGGGCAGACUAGAGGUAUGCAGGGGAGAACGGAAUUCCUGGUGUAGCGGUGAAAUGCGCAGAUAUCAGGAGGAACACCGGUGGCGAAGGCGGUUCUCUGGGCAUUACCUGACGCUGAGGAGCGAAAGUGUGGGGAGCGAACAGG
rnacentral:rRNA from 1 species